UACGAAGGGGGCUAGCGUUGCCCGGAAUUACUGGGCGUAAAGCGCACGUAGGCGGCUUUCUAAGUCGGGGGUGAAAUCCUGGAGCUCAACUCCAGAACUGCCUUCGAUACUGGAAAGCUCGAGUCCGGGAGAGGUGAGUGGAACUGCGAGUGUAGAGGUGAAAUUCGUAGAUAUUCGCAAGAACACCAGUGGCGAAGGCGGCUCACUGGCCCGGUACUGACGCUGAGGUGCGAAAGCGUGGGGAGCAAACAGG
rnacentral:rRNA from 1 species